GCAAAUCUUCUCCUGGCAAUAUUUCAACGGGAUCCCCAAUCCCAACCUUUGGGCGUUUCCCACUACCUGGACACGAAAAUACGAGCUUAGGAUCGGUUUCGCGCAAGCUUCUUGUUUGCUGAGGAACCGCCCCAUAUUGUCAGACUGUUGCCGACUCAUGGGGAUAGGGCCAGGCAACCACCGCGAUCUCUUCAAGGCAUUUUUUUGACUGCGGAUCAUGAUCGAGACGUGAAGUCUUCAGGAACGAAACCUGAAGUUUCCGCUUCACGAGCCCAUAGAAAAGCGUUGAUUAUAAUCCUCUCCUUGCACUCAUGGCAUGAAACU
rnacentral:sRNA from 2 species